rnacentral:snRNA from 10 species
AUACUUCUCUGGCAAGGGAGAUACCAUGAUCACAAAGGUGGUUUUCCCAGGGUGAGGCUUAUCCAUUGCACUCCAGAUGUGCUGACCCCUGUGAUUUCCUCAAGUUAAAAAAAAAAAAAAAAAAAAAAAAAAGAAAGAUGAUGAUCUAAACUCAGUAACUAUAGU